GGCAUGGUGGUGCAGUGGUUAGCACUGUCGCCUAACAGCAAGGUUAUGGGUUCAAAUCCGGCCUGGGGCC